rnacentral:rRNA from 1 species
CCUACGGGAGGCUGCAGUGGGGAAUAUUGGACAAUGGGGGCAACCCUGAUCCAGCCAUGCCGCGUGUGUGAAGAAGGCCCUCGGGUUGUAAAGCACUUUCAGUGAGGAAGAACGCCUGGUGGUUAAUACCCAUCAGGAAAGACAUCACUCACAGAAGAAGCACCGGCUAACUCCGUGCCAGCAGCCGCGGUAAUACGGAGGGUGCGAGCGUUAAUCGGAAUUACUGGGCGUAAAGCGCGCGUAGGUGGCUUGAUAAGCCGGUUGUGAAAGCCCCGGGCUCAACCUGGGAACGGCAUCCGGAACUGUCAAGCUAGAGUGCAGGAGAGGAAGGUAGAAUUCCCGGUGUAGCGGUGAAAUGCGUAGAGAUCGGGAGGAAUACCAGUGGCGAAGGCGGCCUUCUGGACUGACACUGACACUGAGGUGCGAAAGCGUGGGUAGCAAACAGGAUUAGAUACCCGUGUAGUU